rnacentral:rRNA from 1 species
ACAGUGAGGAAUUUUGCGCAAUGGGGGAAACCCUGACGCAGCAACGCCGCGUGAGUGAAGAAGGCCCUUGGGUCGUAAAGCUCUGUCGACAGGGAAGAAAUUACUUCGUAUUAAUAGUAUGUUGUAUUGACGGUACCUGUAGAGGAAGCACCGGCUAACUCCGUGCCAGCAGCCGCGGUAAUACGGGGGGUGCAAGCGUUAUUCGGAAUUAUUGGGCGUAAAGGGCGCGUAGGCGGUCUUGUCGGUCAGAUGUGAAAGCCCGGGGCUCAACCCUGGAAGUGCAUUUGAAACAGCAAGACUUGAAUACUGGAGGGGAGAGCGGAAUUCCUGGUGUAGAGGUGAAAUUCGUAGAUAUCAGGAGGAACACCGAUGGCGAAGGCAGCUCUCUGGACAGAUAUUGACGCUGAGGCGCGAAGGUGUGGGUAGCAAACGGGAUUAGAUACCCCGGUAUCCACACAGUAAACGUGUUCACUCGGUUAGCGGAUAUAAAACCUGCGCGCCCCAGC